GUGUUUGCAUUGACAGCACAUAUACUAAAAUUCGAACGAUACAGAGUAGAUUAGCAUGGUUGUUGAGCAAGGAUAACACACAAAUUUGUGAAGGGUUUCAUGUUUGA
ensembl:snRNA U6 U6 spliceosomal RNA